UACGGGGGGGAGCAAGCGUUGUUCGGAUUUACUGGGCGUAAAGGGCGCGUAGGCGGCGCAACAAGUCACUUGUGAAAUCUCCGGGCUUAACCCGGAGCGGUCAAGUGAUACUGUCGUGCUAGAGUGCGGAAGGGGCUACUGGAAUUCUCGGUGUAGCGGUGAAAUGCGUAGAUAUCUGGAGGAACACCGGUGGCGAAGGCGGGUAGCUGGGCCGACACUGACGCUGAUGCGCGAAAGCCAGGGGGAGCGAACGGG
rnacentral:rRNA from 1 species